CCUUGCCGCUGCGGAAGGUGGCUAUUACAUCUCUCGUGCUGGUGGCCAGGGCCCUCAGUGGCUUGGGGACCCUGAAGACCUCCUCUGGGGUAAUUGUUUUGCCUUGUCUGUGUGGCAGUAUUGCUGAUAGCAUGCGCCCCGUGACUUUCGACAGCUCAGUGUCUGGUACCUCUUCAGGGACUCCUCUAAUCUUUAUGUUAAGCCUUUGCCUGGAGUCCUCUUGAGCCGCCAGACGGCGUUCAUGUUGCAGGUUCUGCAAUUGUAGGUUCUGCACGGUCUGUUGUAGCGUGGCUAUGUUCUGGGUUUGAGACUGUGAGCAUCCCUCCAGUUUCGUAAUGAGGCCUGUCAGGCCUCUUAAUUCCGUGCGUAGCACCAUGACAUCCUCGUGGAUGUGUUUC